rnacentral:rRNA from 1 species
AUUGAACGCUGGCGGCAUGCUUUACACAUGCAAGUCGAACGGUAACAGGCCGCAAGGUGCUGACGAGUGGCGAACGGGUGAGUAAUGCAUCGGAACGUGCCCAGUCGUGGGGGAUAACGCAGCGAAAGCUGCGCUAAUACCGCAUACGAUCUAUGGAUGAAAGCGGGGGACCGUAAGGCCUCGCGCGAUUGGAGCAGCCGAUGUCAGAUUAGGUAGUUGGUGGGGUAAAGGCUCACCAAGUCAACUAUCUGUAGCUGGUCUGAGAGGACGACCAGCCAAACUGGGACGGAGACACGGCCCAGACUCCUACGGGAGGCAGCAGUGGGGAAGUUUGGACAAUGGGCGCAAGGCUUGUCCAGCAAUGCCGCGUGCAGGAAGAAGGCCUUCGGGUUGUAAACUGCCUUUGUACGGAACGAAACGGUCUGGGUUAAUACCCUGGGCUAAUGACGGUACCGUAAGAAUAAGCACCGGCUAACUACGUGCCAGCCGCCGCCGUAAGAC